UACGUAGGGGGCAAGCGUUGUCCGGAAUCAUUGGGCGUAAAGCGCGUGUAGGCGGUCCGGUCAGUCCGCUGUGAAAGUCGGGGGCUCAACCCUCGAAUGCCGGUGGAUACUGUCGGGCUUGAGUACGGAAGAGGCGAGUGGAAUUCCUGGUGUAGCGGUGAAAUGCGCAGAUAUCAGGAGGAACACCAAUUGCGAAGGCAGCUCGCUGGGACGUUACUGACGCUGAGACGCGAAAGCGUGGGGAGCAAACAGG
rnacentral:rRNA from 1 species